GCUUGCUUAGGCAGCACACAUUAAAAUUGGAAUGAUACAGGGAAGAUUAGCACAGCCCCUGUAUAAGAACACACAAAUUCACAAUCCAACCACAUUUUCU
rnacentral:snRNA from 1 species